AUUGUAUUCUGUGAACACCUUAAUAAUGCCCAAAUGCAUAGGUAAUAAAGUUUGUCUAAAUGAGGAUAAAGUUAAAGGAAGAUGAAGAGCUAAAUAGAGGAAGGAAGAGAAGGGGGAGGAAGGAGGAAGUGAAUAAGAUAACACCACAGAGCAAAUACUAAUGUCAUCUCUAGUAAAGAAAAUACGUUUUCAGAAUAGAUAGAGGUUCCAUCCUCCUACCUUUGUCUUGGAGGUAGGAAGGGGGCAGUUAUUAACAAAUCCAUAGAGCAAGUGGUAUUUUUCACCAACAGGGAAUCAUCAUUACAUGGAUUUAGCUUCCUAGUCACAUCAGUGGGAAUGAAGGAAAAAUAUUUGACAAGGAGUACAAUGUUAGUAAAUACUUCUCAAGUGACUGAGACAAAUUGUUGCUUCCAAUCAAACUCUUCUAAAUAUCAUUAAAAACAGCAUAAUACAGUAGCUUAUAUUCCUUAUACUGUGCUUUUAUUAUCCUCUCUCAAAUUUCAGUUGUCUGUGUUUUCCUGUUUAUUCCUAUAUGAAACUCAGAAUUUAUCCCCUUUGCAAAUGUGAUUGCAUUUUCAGUGUUUAGGUUUAUUUUCUUCACUUGUAAGUCUCCAUUAAAUUUUAAGCAUUUCAGUGGAAGUUUCUAAUUAGUUUCAAAGUGACCAGAGAGCAAGGCAGUUGCUUGAUUCUUCACACAUGGCACUAUUAACCCCAAAGAGCUGGUUGAGAACCCAGCACUAUGCCAUGCACUUUAAGCAAUGCCAAACUUUAGAGUACUACCAUGGUUGCAAAUUAUAUGUGCUCUGGAGUUUACUUUAAGCUGACAGUGUUUAGCUUCUGCAUUUACAGAAAUAAACAGAAAACAAAAUUAAUUACUAACAAUUGCAUUUGAUUCUUGAUAUUCCUUGGCAACUAAUCACUACUCUUCUGCAAGACUCUAUGCAUGACAUGUAAAUAUUUGACAAGAAGCUAUCUGAGCCCCUUAUGCAUUUAAUGAUCUUCCACAUAGAGAGAGGCAGAAAGUAGAUUGAAAAUAAAAUAUCAGUGCAGCAAAAGGGCUAUGGAUAUCUAGAUUCACCCACCAAUAUGGUGGCACUCUUUUAAUGGCAUACUGUGGAUGCUGCUAAUGGGAAAAAAUCUAUAUCAGUGGUUCCUGUUCCUAAUAUCUACUACAAAGUUUGGAAAAACACAAGUUUAUUCAGGUUAUACAACCAAAAGAAAUGACAAAGAUAAUCUUCUUGACCUCCAUUACUCCAUUCUUCUAGAAGACAUGUCUGCUUUUGUCUUUAUAGUACUAAAUUAGUUUGAAUAUCAAUGUGAGACUUCUGUAUAAUCAAAGCAGGCUACAUUGGAAAGGGCAUGAAAAGCUGCUUUAAAAAGUGCAAGUUGCAAACUAAGACCUCCCAAUCUAAAUCCAAAUCAAAUGUGUGUUCUUCAGCUAACAGACUGUUAUUAAAAUAAAAUUAAAUAAUAAAAAGAAUUUCCACACCCUGAAUCUGGCCUUGGGCCCAGUUGUUACAGAAAUCCCCACACCCUUUUCUCAAGCAUCUCACUUCAAUUGAUCUGGAUGCAUUAUCUGUAUAUCUUCAUUAUUUAUAAGGAGAGAAACUGAGAUUUAGAGUAGAUAAUUAGCAUACCCCAAACCAUAUAUCUACUUAGCUAGCAGAACUGGAUUUGUAACUUAAAGUUCCUGGUUCUCAGCUCAGAUCUUUUUCUGUAUUCUACAAAUUUAAAUGUGGUGGAAUAAAAUAUUAUAUAGUAUGGCACAAUUAUUAUAAUGAAAUUAGUUUUAUUUCUCAAAAGAGUAGAGCUUUCAAGUAUGUUUGUGCAUAUUGGUGGAGAGGAUCUCAGAGAAUGGUGAAGCUGAAGUCCCAGAAUGUACACAGGGAUGCAGCUUAUCUCUCAAGUCAAAGGGGUUAAUAAAAUAAUGACAACAUCUUCCCGCUAUAGCUCUCUUACUUCUAGAAGUGUCCAUGGACCACAGAGAGGAUAAACACUUCCAGCUCCAUCCACCUAUCAAUUAUUUGGAGAAAUAUGCAAAAUGCCAUGAGACAUACUGGUCAUGUAUAAAUGUGUUUAAUUUUCUUUUCUUUCUUAAAAAAAUUUUAUUGGGAUAUAGUAGACGUACAAUGUUGUAUUAUUACAGGAAAGCAAAUAAGUUAUACAUACAUGUAAUCUUUUUCAGAUUCUUUUCACAUGUAGGUAAUUACAGAAUAUUGAGUAGAUUGAGUGCUAUACAGUAGGUCCUUGUUACUUAUCUAAUUUAUAUAUGGUAGUGUGGAUACAUUAACCCCAAUGUAAUUUAUCUUUUCCUGCCACAUUUCCCCUUUGGUAACCAUAAGUUUGAUUUUGAAGUCCCUAAGUAUGUUUCUGUUUUGUAAAAUGUUCUUUUAUAUCAUUUUUAUUAGAUUCCACAUAUGAGUUAUAUCAUUAUGAUAUUUGUCUUUGUCUCGCUUACUUCAUUUAGUAUGAUAAUCUAUAGGUCCAUCCAUGUUGCUGAAAAUGGCAUUAUUUCAUUGCUUUUAUGGGUGAGUGAUAUUACACUGCAUAUAUGUACUACAUCUUCUUUAUCCAUUCCUCUGUUGAUGGACUUUUAGGCUAUUUACUUGGCAUGGCUAUUGUAAAUGGUGCUGCAAUGAAUAGCAGGGUGCUUGUAUCUUUUCAAAUUAUAGCUUUUUACAGAUAUAUGCUCAGGAGUAAAAUUGCUGGAUCUUAUGGUAGUUCUAUUCAGUUUUUUGUUUUUUUGUCUUUUGUCUUUUUAGGGCCACACCUGCAGCAUAUGGAGGUUCCCAGGCUAGGAACCACAGCCACAGCAAUGCCAGAUCUGAGCUGCGUCUGCGACCUAUACCACAGCUCACAGCAAUGCCGGAUCCUUAACCCACUGAGCAAGGCCAGGGAUCGAACCUGCAACCUCAUGGUUCCUAGUUGGAUUGGUUUUUGCUGCACCAUGACAGGAACUCCUCUAUUCAGUUUUUGAGGAGCCUCCAUACACUUCUACAUACUGGUUGUAACAAUUUACAUUCCAACCAACAGUGUAGAAGGGUUCCCUUUUCUUUAUCGUUUGUAGACUUUUUUACAUCUUCUGGCCAUUUUUUGAUUGGUUUUAUUUAUUUAUUUUUUUUUGAUGUAAAGCUGCAUGAAAUGAUUUAUAUUUUGGAGAUUAACCCCUUGUUGAUAUCUUGAUUUGAAAAGAUAUUCUUCCAUUCUGUGUAUUGUCUUGUUGUUUAAUAGGGUUUCCUUUGCUAUUAAAAAAUGUUUAAUUAGGUACCAUUUAUUUAUUUUGGUUUUAUUUUUAUUACUCUAGGAGGUGGAUCAACAAAGAUAUUUUGGUUUAUAUCAAAGAGUUUUCUGCCUAUAUUUUCCUCUAGAAAUUUUAUAGUGUAUCUGGCCUUACAUUUAGGUCUUUAAUCCAUUUUGAGUUCAUUUUUGAGUAUAGUGUUAGAGAAUGUUCAUAUAGUGUUAGAGAGUGUUAGAGAAUGUUUCAUUCUUUUACAUGUAACUGUCCAGUUUUCCCAGCACCACUUAUUGAACAGAUCUUUUCUCCAUUGUGUAUUCUUGCCUCCUUUGUAGUAGACUGGUUGAUCAUAAGUGCAUGAGUUUAUCUCUGGGCUUUCUUUCCUGUUCUACUGAUCUGUAUUUAUGCUUUUGCAUCAGUAGCAUACUGUACCAUACUGUUUUGAUGACUUUAGCUUUGUAUUAUAGCCUACAGUCAGGGAUCCUGAUUCCUCCUGAUCCAUUUUUCGUUCUCAGGAUUGCUUUGGCUAUGUGGGGCCUUUUGUGUUUCCAUGAUAAUUUAAAAUUUUUUUGGUCCUAGUUCUGUGAAAAAUGCCACUUGUAAUUUUGUAGGGAUUGCAUUGAAUUUGUAGAUUGCCUUGGGUAGUAUAGUCAUUUUGACGCUAUUGAAUCCUUCAACCCAUGAAUAUGGUAUAUCUUUCCUCUGUUUAUGUCAUCUUUGAUUUCUUUCCUAGAUGUCUUAGUUUUAAGAGUAUGGGUCUUUUGCCUCUUUAGGUAGUUUUUUUCUCAGGUAUUUUAUUCUUUUUGAUUCAAUGGUAAAGGGGAUUAUUUCCUUAAUUCUCUUUCUGAUCUUUCAUUGCUACAUUUACUUUUCUGAUGAGAGGAACUAUAAAGUAAAUUUACUAGAACUCCAAGGAAGCCCGGAGAUACAAAAGGAAUACAUAUUUCACAAAUAUGAGGGACAACAUAAACAAGAGUGACUCAAGAUUCAUUUCUGAGGAACAUAAUUGGUGAACACCAAAAGUUUCUUUGCCACAUUGGUUUGGUGUUAUUGAUUUAAACUAACAAGAUCAAAUUUAGAAAGGUUGCUUCAUUUAGCAUAACAUGUAGUUAAGCAGAGAAAUCCCUUAUCCAUCAUACAUCUGUUAUGAUGGAGGCAGCUUCUGGAAACAGACACACUCUAUUAAAAUGGUGUGUUCAUAUAAAUCUAUUUUUUUGGUGUUAAAAAUUCCUCCUUUGGAUUUCAGUUUCAUUGGACUUUUUUUUGUCAUCAAGAAGUGUAUAAAAACAUAAAACCAAAAGUGAAAGACAAGUUGCUUAGUAAUCUACUCUAUAUGCCAAGCUAACAUUGGAUUUUCAAGGCCAAAUGCUUCCCUGUAGAUGACUAACAAGAGGAGCCAGAACAGAUACAGGGGAACCAAAACUUUGAAAUAUUUAUUUAUUUAUUUAUUUAUUAUUUUUGUUGUUUGUCUUUUUAGGGCCACACCUGCAGUAUAUGGAGGUUCUCAGGCUAGGGAUCUAAUCAGAGCUGUAGCUGGCGGCCUGCACCACAACCACAGCAAUGCCAGAUGCGAGCCACGUCUGCAACCUACACCACAUCUCACAGCAAUGAUGGAUCCUUAACCCACUGAGCAAGGCCAGGGAUUGACCCUACAACCUCAUGGUUCCUAGUAGGAUUCGUUUCCACUGUGCCACAAUGGGAACUCCCAAAACUUUGAAAUCUUUAGACAUGAAAUAUUUUGCCAGUAAAAAUGAGAAUUUAUAUUUCUGGGUGUCUUUUUCUUCCCGUUUAUUAUCAACAAUUAAUGUUUAUUUUGCUCCUUCUUAGAAGUUACGCCACUGUUUGCUUAAUGGUAUAUAUACAUUUUUAUUAUAAGCGUGUUACCGCUUUGUAUAAUUAUUAAGUGUGAUUAAUCCUACAUGCUCUGGAAAACUGAAAGGGUUUAUUUAACUAGAGGGAAUGACUUUAAGUCUUUGUGUUAUUCGCAUGUAAUGCAAGGUGGCAAGAACUUCUGUGAAUGGAGCAGAAUAUGAAAAGUUCAUAUGUAAACAUCUGUCCUGAAGUAGCUAGAAAAAUGGCAUUAUUUUCCCCUUUUAUGACCAUUCUUGUGUUAACUGGUAGGUAUAGAAGAAUUUUCCAUGCAACACAAAAAUAUUUUGGACAUCAGAGUAACAACAUAUGUAUUUUACAACAGGAUAAAUUGCAAAACAUAACAUUGCCUCUGAUAAUAAAUUACAAAUAAGAGUGUUAUCAAUAGUAUUUAUGUCAUAACUCUUGGUGCAUGGAUAGCAGUCCAAAGACUAUACUAUUGGAAAGAUAGAUACAAAUAAAUAGAAGGGGGAGAGGUGAUAGAUACGAUCAUGAGAAAAACAGACAAAGAGGGAGAGAAGACUACAACUCUAUAAGACAAAUAAUAAAUUGCUGUUUCGACAAAAGAGGAAUUCCUCCUCAGAUUUUCAGCUUAUGGCUUGUAAUUAUUGUCUUUCUCAGUAGUUAGUGGAAUUUGACAUUGACCACUUGCCAGAUUUCUGUCAAAAAUUAGAUGACGAAGGAUCUAAGCAGAUAGAGACCAAAAUAUCAGCUUUUGUCCUGAUAUUUUGUGGAAGUUUGUACCUUAUGAGUCAUAGUCAGUCAUAGGCUAUGCUAUAAAGUUGAGACCCCACUUCAGAAAGACAGUCUUUGUCUUCAGCUUAUGGGAUGUCAAGGAUUAAACAAGGAUAUGUAUCUCAGACCCAAAGUAGGGAAGGAAGGAAAGAGCUUAAUCUUCAUAUACUCAGUUUCUUACCUCAAAUGGACCCAUCAGAUGUCUCACUGCUUCUCCAGUAGGAAAUAAUGACUUGAACUCUCUUUCAGAAUCACUUUCCAGUCACUGACUUUAAGGCCAUUCUUCUUCAGUCUUUUCUCUUACAUUUGAUGUCAUCAUUACACAGUGUCUUUAUUCUUGUUUAAAUUUUAUUUUAUUGAUUGAUUUUUCAUGCUGAUAUAUUUCACUUUUUAUAUUUGUUGAUUAAACUAUAUUACUUUAAUAAAUUUCCAAACACACCCCCACCCCCACAUCAAGAGAAAACUCUCAGGAAUAAAAUAGUUAUCCCAUAGUAGAUGCUAAUAGGCAUACCGAUUCAACACUGCUCCAUCAAUAUUGAAGUUUCUAAUGUGACAAAUGGGUUCCCUUCUUGUUUAACUUCUCUAGAACAGGUUGAAUUGAUGGAAUAAACUAUUUCUAUGCUGUUUCAACAGUACUCAGAGAAACCAGUCUUCCCUUCUCAGAAUCUCUGAUCCGAGAAGAAAUUUUUAAGCAACUUCAGCAAGCUAAAGAUAUUUAUUUUCCAUGUUUAUUAAAAGGGGAUCAAGUUAUGUUGUGUGCUCAGAAAGUGUUUUCAGUCCUUCAUUAAUAGCAAUUCUAAUAAUUUAUGUUGUAGAGUUAUCAUUUAGUUUAUAUUGUUACUGCUUAAUGAAAUAAGUGGAUUCUGGAUCCAUGACUCUUCUAUGAACAGAUCUUCC
rnacentral:lncRNA from 1 species